rnacentral:rRNA from 1 species
GUCCAAAUUACUAAGGGCAUGUGGGGGAUGUCUUGGCACCAAAAGACGACGAAGGGCGCGGAAAACUGCGAUAAUCCCGGUGGAGCUGUUAAACAAGCGUUGAGACCGGGGUACCUGAAUGAGCAUACACUGAAUACAUAGGUGUAUGCGGCAAACUCGGAGAACUGAAACAUCUCAGUACCCGAAGGAAAAGAAAGAAAAAUCGAUUCCGUAAGUAGCGGCGAGCGAAAGCGGAACAGCCUAAACCAACUGGAAUUUCUAGUUGGGGUUGUAGGAUCAGACUUAAAGACUGAGUAUACCUAACCAAAGCGUCUGGAAUGUCGCACCAUAGACGGUGAAAGUCCCGUAGGUAAAAGGUAGAGACGGUUUGUCUGACACCUGAGUAGGGCCGGCCACGUGGAAUCCGGUUUGAAUCUGCGGGGACCAUCCCGCAAGGCUAAAUACUCUUUGGUGACCGAUAGCGAACUAGUAGCGCGAGCGAAAGAUGAGAAGAAACCCGAUAAGGGUAGGAUAGUGAACCUGAAACCACAUGCCUACAAGCGGUCGGAGCCCAGUGGCGCAAGCCCGGGUGACGGCGUGCCUUUUGCAUAAUGAUCCGGCGACUUACCGUCAUCAGCCAGGUUAAGCCGUUCUGCGGCGGAGCCGAAGCGAAAGCGAGUCUGAAUAGGGCGAAUGAGUUGGUGGCGGUAGACGCGAAACCACGUGAUCUACGCAUGGGCAGGAUGAAGUGAGGGUAACACCUCAUGGAGGUCCGAACUCACUAGUGUUGAAAAACUAGGGGAUGACCUGUGCGGAGGAUUGAAAGUAUCAUCAAACGUGGAGAUAGCUCGUUCUCUCCGAAAUAACUUUAGGGUUAACGUCGUGACAGAUGACAUUGGGGGUAGAGCGACUGAAUGCGCUGGGGGGCCUACCAGGCUACCCCUCGCAACCAAACUCCGAAUACCAAUGUACCUUAUCACGGCAGCUAGACGGUGGGGGAUAAGCUUCAUCGUCGAGAGGGGAACAACCCAGACCGCCCGCUAAGGUCCCUAAAUCAUGCUCAGUGCGAAAGGAAGUUGGAUUCCUGAGACAGCCAGGAUGUUGGCUUAGAAGCAGCCAUCAUUUAAAAAGUGCGUAAUAGCUUACUGGUCGAGGAGUCCUGCGCCGAUAAUGAACGGGACUAAGCAUGAUACCGAAGCGGCGGGUAUAGUAAUAUACGGUAGGAGAGCGUAGCACACUAGAUUGAAGGGGUACGGACAACGAGCCCUGGACGAAGUGCUAGUGAUCAUGCCGGAACGAGUAACGAUAAAACAGGUGAGAAUCCUGUUCGCCGAAAACCUAAGGUUUCCUGGGGAAGGUAAAUCCGCCCAGGGUUAGUCGGAACCUAAGAUGAGGCCGAAAGGCGUAGUCGAUGGACGGCAGGUUAAUAUUCCUGCACCGAUUUUGUAGACAAACUGAGUGACGCUGGCGAAGAUAAGAUCGGCCUGUUAGAUUAGGCCGUCCCGAAAGGGCGAGGGCGUUUACGAUCCCGAAGUCUUAAAAUUGACAGACAAGAAAAACCUCAGCGCGGACGAAACAAAACGCCCGUACUAAAACCGACACAGGUAGGUGAGAUGAAUAUUCUAAGGCGCUCGAGAGAAC